AUGUCUAGCAACUUGUGGGAGAUUUUGUUCAUCCAAUGAAUAACCAAAUGACAAAAGAAAACUACGGCUGUUGAUUAAAAAUAAAGAACAGUAGCAAAAUUUUAUGAAAACCAGCUGACUUCGUUUCAGGCAUCAGACUCUUUAUUGUGUUCUUCGCUUCUCCUCCUUGAAUAACCAGUUGUUUAAAAAAAAAACAAUGGGUUUAAGUUUAGUAAAUUACAGAUUGACCCU
rnacentral:lncRNA from 1 species